rnacentral:rRNA from 1 species
ACGCGGGGAAUCUUACCGGGUCCGGACACACUGAGGAUUGACAGACAAUUGUCUUUUUGUCAAAUUAAAAGACAAAAGAUAACAGAUCUUUCAUGAUUAUGUGAUGGGUGGGCAUGGCCGUCUUAGUUCGUGGAGUGAUCUGUCUGCUUAAUUGCGUUUCAAAUAUUUUAUUAUAUACGAGUCUACAAAGGAGUGGUUCAUUAACAGACAAUCAUAUCUUUGAGCGUCUGGAAUCUACUCUAUUUGGCUCAAUUGAACGCAACGGACGUGAUCGCGAGUCCUUGUUGAACUUCAGUAUAUAUUGACUUUCCCCGUAGGAAGGGAUUGGCAAUAAUUGAAUGUUCGCUUUCUAUUAGGUUUGUAUGUAAUCUCAAAAUUACAUGUAUUUGUAAUGGCGAGUGAUCACACCUAUAGGAAAACUCGGGCGACCGCUGUAAUAUUUCUCUUUAAAACAGAGGAAGAUUGCGGCAAUAACAGGUCUGUGAUGCCCUCAGAUGUCCCGGGCCGCACACGUGCUACAUUGAUUAGCGCAGUGCGCAUACUUUCAAUAUGAUACAUUAGAUUGGAUAGCUUUUGCUUCCAUCUAAUACUAUCCGGCUUGAGAAGGCUGGGUAAUCAAUUGUAAGUGCUGGUUCCUCCUCCCGUUGAGCAUUUUAAUAAUGGCCUCUCUACAUCCCUAGUAAUAUGACUAGGCGAUUGUAGUUGAGCCUUGCCAUUUAUGCAAGUGUCAAUUCUCAUGGGGACAGACAUUUGAUAAUUCUUUGUCUCG